rnacentral:rRNA from 1 species
AUUGAACGCUGGCGGCAUGCUUUACACAUGCAAGUCGAACGGUAACAGGCCGCAAGGUGCUGACGAGUGGCGAACGGGUGAGCAAUGCAUCGGAACGUGCCCAGUCGUGGGGGAUAACGCAGCGAAAGCUGCGCUAAUACCGCAUACGACCUAUGGAUGAAAGCGGGGGUCCGUAAUGCCUCGCGCGAUUGGAGCGGCCGAUGUCAGAUUAGGUAGUUGGUGGGGGAAAGGCUCACCAAGCCAACGAUCUGUGUCUGGUCUGAGAGGACGACCAGCCACACUGGGACUGAGACACGGCCCAGACUCCUACGGGAGGCAGCAGUGGGGAAUUUUGGACAAUGGGCGCAAGCCUGAUCCAGCAAUGCCGCGUGCGGGAAGAAGGCCUUCGGGUUGUAAACUGCUUUUGUACGGAACGAAACGGUCCUGGUUAAUACCCGGGGCUAAUGACGGUACCGUAAGAAUAAGCACCGGCUAACUACGUGCCAGCCGCCGCGGUAAAAC